rnacentral:rRNA from 1 species
CUGAAACGUUCGCCGCCCCAAAACUACAAACACACUUAACAACCCCCCUCUAAACCAUUCGCCCUGUCGAGUAUAGGAGAUAGAAACACACCCUGCGCGCAAUAGCCAAUAGUACCACAAGGGAACACUGAAAGACAAUUAAACACUUACGCACANAACAGCAGGGAUCAGACCCCGUACCUCUUGCAUCAUGGUCUAACUAGCCCUAGCCAGAUAAAGUGCACUAAACCUGCCCCCCCGAACCCAGACGAGCUACCCCGGACUAAUCAUAUUGGAUUUACCCCAUCUCUGUGGCAAAAGAGUGGAAGAAGCCCCGGGUAGAGGUGAAACGCCUACCGAGCCUGGUGAUAGCUGGUUGCUCAUUAAACGAAUAUAAGUUCGACUCUAGUUUUUCCCCACAGCUACCAAUACCCGCCUGUAAACAACUAGAAGUUAUACAAUUAGGGAUCAGCCUAAUUGUACCAGGAUACAACCCGCCUUGCUGGGUCCAGCCCCACCCCAUCAACAAAACCCCGUAGGCCCCCGAGCAGCCACCCCUAAAAAUCGCGUCAAAGCAAAACACACAAAAAUCCCACCCACCACUGCCAACCCACACAUCAAACUGAGCCCCCCUAGCAAGCUCUAGGGGAGAUACUGUUAGAACUAGUAAUAAGACACCCCCCCCUCUCCUCGCACAGCCUUACGCCGGCACGGAUUCCCCACCGGCAAUUACCAGCCAACCCCCUCCUACACAGCACUAAACAACUGUCACCCCAACACAGGCGUGCCUUAAAGAGUAGGUCAACCGCCAUAGAAGGAACUCGGCUAAUAUGCCCCACCUGUUUACCAAAAACAUGGCCUUUAGCAUCACAAGUAUUAAAGGUCCCGCCUGCCCAGUGAACCACUUUUAAACGGCCGCGGUAUUCUAACCGUGCAAAGGUAGCGUAAUCACUUGCCCUCUAAAUAGGGGCUUGUAUGAACGGCUAAAUGAGGGCCUAACUGUCUCCUAUGGCAACCCAAUGAAACUGCUCUCUUAGUACAAAAGCUGAGAUACCCCCACAAGACGAGAAGACCCUGUGGAGCNUUUAAACAUCCCACUACCCCCCCCNNNNNNNNNNNNNNNNAUAGUGCAGACUUUAAGUUGGGGCGACUGCGGAGCAAAACACAACCUCCAUGUAACAGGACUAACCCCCCAUUACAGGCCAACAAGCCAAAAUUACAACCAAUCACUUGACCCAGCAACGCUGAUCAACGAACCAAGUUACCCCAGGGAUAACAGCGCCAUCCUCCUCAAGAGUCCUUAUCGCCAGGAGGGUUUACGACCUCGAUGUUGGAU